GUAAGCUGUUUACUUUUUCCUUCCUCCCUCUUUGUGGACCAAGAAUUUAUUGGGAAACAGGUUUUCUCCCUCUUGCUUUAUUGAGGUAUAACCAACAAAGUCUUAAUCUACUUACAGUGUGAUGCUUUGAGAACUGUUAUAUUGUGGUUGUAUCCACUUAGUGUAUCCCUCAUCCCUGGUAUCCCCACCCUCUUCCUUAGCUGUACUGAGAACAUCCAAGACCUACCUGGAGUAGGUGCUAGGCACACAGUAUGGAUUUUGAUGACAACUUGAAUGCCAUUACCUAGUAAAGCAAGGUAUUUAAUUUGAUGGUAAAUAAAACAUUUUCUGAUGGGGGUAUUCACUAGUAUAGUUAACUAAUCAAAGAUUCAUUGGUUAUUCAGAAAACUAAAGACUGUUGAAUUAGUGGCAUGUUUUGUCUAUGGUACAAUUGAAAACAAAAGCAAAUUCUUGGACUGCUUUUUCAGAGGACUCGUUUAGUUAGUGUAACACCAAGAUUCUUUGCAUGUUUUUCUUUCUCCAAGCACAGCACCUAUAGUACUUCAGAUGAAUUGAAAGCUCAGGGUAGCAGUGAAAGUGCCCCAACAUAAGGUCAUAAACUCACUUAACCUUUGAGUUGGUUUGCAGUCUUUUUUGUAGACAUUGUAAGUGACAACAUCAGUUUGCAAUGCCAAGGGUUGGACAUGGCUGCUCUGGGGAGUAAGACAUUUGAAACUUGAUUCUAGUAUUAAAUUUGGACUUGUGCCCCACCCCCGCUUCUCUUCUGCCUCCUCUCCCUUCUGUCUUUCUCCUCCUCUACUCCAUUCUUCCCCCUUCUCCUUUUUUUGAGCCCUGAUUUUAUCUGGAUCAACUUUGGGCCAUGCCCAUCACACUAAGGUCUGUGGCUGCAGCGGUCCUGGGCCCUGUACUUCUCUUUCACCUGCUUUUUAAAAACCCUGUCGUUAUAACUCUUUUGAGUUUGUACAAGAAUAUCAAGACUGUUUGUUCAUUGGUGGGAGUUCACAAAAUUACAUCUUUAAUGCAGUAAAAAAGUCAUGUGUUAGAAAAUCAGAUUUAAGCUAGAGACUCCUCAACUCUGACUCCCGAUGAAGUGUUCAGAUGUUCUGUUAUUCGAUGUAUGUGGUAUAUACAUAACCAUAAAUUGUUGUUGGUAGCUUCCAUUUGCCUUCAGACAAAAUAUAAAGGAACUUCUAACAAAUUAUGUCUCAUUUCUCCCAUUUAAAAAAUCAGUACCCCUUACCUGAGAACAGUAGGUAUCUAAAUGGGUUGAUUCUGUUCAAUAGUGAAAUUUAUGAUAAACAAGUUUUAAAAACAAGUUGAAAGCUUGCCAUUGUUUGACUCUUACAUCAUCCUUGCUCUCAGUGUUAUUUUUAUUCUUGUUUAGUGAAAAUAAAUUAUGAAAACUCUUAUUUCACCUAUGAGAGAAAUAUGGAACAUAAUAUGUUUUUGACCAAUUAAAGUAGGCUGUGUCAGAUAAAAUCUCUAAGACUAGAUACGAUCAUCUAUUAGUUUCUUUGCCUUCAAGAUCAUUAUCUCUGUGGGGCAGGAAAAGAUUAUGGACCAUUUUAAUUUUCAGGUUAAAGCAUUAAACUGCUUGACAGCACAGCGUUGUCUGGCUUCUAGAUAUCAGUGGACCUGUGUGCAGUGAAGAGCUUUCUAGGUCCUUCUGUCUGUUGACAAAGCCUCUUGAGAUUCUCUUGCUUGAAGGUCUUGGCUCUCUCUUGUGAAUUUGGGUCUUUCACAGCAGUAGGUUUUUCAUGACAAAUCAUCAGCAGGGGAACUUUUCACAACUGUAGAAGAGAGUCUCCUAGGAUUAAUGUGAUCUUGCUACCCAGUGCAGCAGUGAGGGCCAGGGCAGAGAUAUCAUCCACUUUUACCAGUGCAGGGAAACCAGAGGAGCUGCAGGGAAAGCUGCUAGAGUGUGGAGGACUCUUAGGGCCAGCGAUGUGCUCAGCCAUUUUUAUUUAACUUUUUUACAUUAAGACUUUUCAGUUCUUUGAGACUGUAAUAAAUUAUAUCAUGAGUAUGUAUGUAUGUGUAGUACAACCUGUGGAUAUGUUUUUAGGGCUUACCAUUUGGAUAACAAAUUGGCAUGCUCUCUUAGCAUUUCUUAGUUACCAGUAGAUCUUUGUCUAGGGUUGAGGCUUGGUCAGCUUUCUCCCAUUCUGGCAUGUCUUUUGUUCUCCUUGCUCAGCUCAUGUUUGGUAGUCAUGUUGAUGAGACUUUAUGGGUGUAGCUUCUGACAUUGCCAGUAGACAAUCUCACAGCAAACUCCCAGAUCCUCUACCUCUUACAGUCUCUAAGCCUUCGUCUACAAUGGUCCCUGAGCUGUAGGUGCAGUUAUUGUGUUGUAGAUGGCUCAGUUGGAACUGAGUUCCACAACUCUGUGUUUUGAACUGUUGUGGUUUUCUGCAAUGUUUUCCUUAUGCUACAAAGAGAAAUUUCCUUGAUGAGGGAUAAGCACUAUGCUUAUCUAUUGGUAUAAAUUUAGAGCAUAGUUAUGGACUAUAUAUAUUAUUUAGUAAAUUAGUGGUUGUAGGUUCUCUGUCAAGAAGCAUGACUUCCCUAGCCCAAGGUAGUUGGCUAGGUUUCCAAUACCAGGCAGUUUCUCUGUCUUUAAGGGGAUUUAAAAUUUUUAUUUGUUUAUCUGUCCAUCCAUCUGUCCAUCUGUCUGAAAUCUAUCUAUCCGUCCACCCAUUUAGGUGAGGCCUGAGAGACAGAGUCAAGGAAAUGUCACCAUC
rnacentral:lncRNA from 1 species